ensembl:lncRNA novel transcript
GCAUGAGAAGUAUGAGCAGACUGCGAGGCUGUAAGAAACUCAGUUGUCCCGGGAUGCUCCAACUCUGAGGCUGAUCCGGGACAAUGGACUGAAUGCCAUCAUGAGCCUCAAUGGACUUACCUGUAAGAAGGGUCACGUGAGAUUCCAACGCUAAUGAGCGUGAAAGGUUUUUGCAAACAGGAACUGCAGCACAAAGGAGAGGCAUGAAUCCUUGAGCGAUUAAGACAGUGGGAGUGACGGGGCAGAGUCACCACGGAGAUGCUACUGGAGUGAACACAAGCAGAUGAAAACAGGGCUGUCUAAAUGACACGCAGCCACCAGUGACUGCCCGGGCUCCCGAGAAAUCCAGAUUCAUCAGGACCCACUGAUUUGGGCAUCUGAUGAUGGCAUGUGAGGAGGAAUUUUCCAAAGUUUCUGGGAGAGUACAAGGCAAGUCACCACCCGCUCCCAGCUGUGUGCCUUUCCUGGGGCCAGACCCUGCAGCAGCUCCCACCUUGUCCCACGCUGGAUGGCAGCCUGCUUGUAGGGGGGGCCUGCAGACACCUUCUCACCCCACCCAGGACUUGAAGGCAAGGGUGGAAUUUUUGGUGGAUGCGAUGAUCUGUCUUCUCGUGGUAAGGAGGUGAUUCCCUGAACAGCUGGGACAACACCAUCACCUCGUCUUCCUUUCUCCUCUCUUACUUCCUGCUCCUGAUCCUAGAGGAGCCACAGAGCUCGGCCCUUCCCCACCCCCGCCUUGAUGUGGCUUGGGCAAGCUAAGGGCAGGUGGCUCUGUGUGUCAUGAAGUCCUGUAGGGCCUGCUCCUGAGACUUUCCUGCCCACUGAGUGGGAUUACUGAGUGACAGCUGGCCCUCUCAGUGACUGUGUGCCUCACCCUGUGCUUCUGGUAUCUGGACAAUGCCCUUCCCAAACAGGAAGUGUUUGAGCCAUGUGUUCUAGAUACAUGGCUGUUUUUCUCUUGUUUAAAAACCUUUGUGUGUGAUGUUCCCCACCCUGUGUGCAAGUGUUCUCAUUGUUCAAUUCCCACCUAUGAGUGAGAACAUGCUGUGUUUGGUUUUCUGUCCUUGCGAUAGUUUGCUCAGAAUGUGGGGGGAGGGGGAAGGGAUAGCAUUAGGAGAUAAACCUAAUGUAAAUGACAAGUUAAUGGGUGCAGCACACCAACAUGGAACAUGUAUGUUCAUAUGUAACAAACCUGCAUGUUGUGCACAUGUACCCUAGAACUUAAAGUAUAAUAAAAUAAAACAAAAACCUUUGUUUU